GGCCCCUUUUCCUAGUCCCCUCCCUCUGGUCCCACGGGCUCCUCAUCGUCGACUACAUCCACUUCCGGUACAAUGGCUACCUCCUCGGCUUUCUCCUCCUUUCCCUCUCUCUCUGCUGGAGGAAGGAAAGGAUCUGACCGGGGGGCUCAUCUUGCCCGUCCCUAUCUGCUUCUUUCACCACUUCUUUGUGCACCUUCUCAGGCAUCACUGCAGACGCGGGCCGUGGGAGGCGUCAAGGAGAUUUCUGACCAUGGGCAUCGCAGUGAGUACCGUAUCGCCGCGGCGUUCGGUCCAUUCUUGUUCUAUGAGCAGAUGCAACAGGUACAUAGUUGUUUAUUUCCAUUUGGCAGGGGUUAUGCAUGCCGACUGGGCUUCACAUUUUGGGUACCUUGCAUAGUUCUUGACAAAGCCCUUGCUUUUGUGCUUGCAAAGCUGGAACUUGAUGUUCCUGCUCCUAAAGCGUCUUCCUGUUGGGCUGGUUGGCAAUUGCUCCCGUUUUGCUCUGCUUCUACCAGGACUACUAUAUGUUGUUGCUUCCAAAAGUGAUUAUUCAGCUAGGAUCUGUCAUCUUCAAGCUUCUGAAUUGAUGUGUCACCCUGUUGAUAGCCUUCUUCCAGAAGCCCCAGCCAAAGCACAUAAUUAGAUGGGUGACAUAUGCCUUUACCCACACAUCACUUCAUUUUAAAACCCCACUUCCUAUAAUUUAAAUAAAUAGCUUGAAUGAUGCGAGACAUUGUCUCGUGCUGUUAAUAGACAGCAAACUGCCACUUAUAUGGUCCUUGGAUUUGUGGCCUCUUCAAUUCAGAUUACAAAACUCUGUAUUAUUGAUUAUCCUGUUACUCCAUGUUUUCUCUGCUAUUUGAGCCCCAGGUAUUACUAAUUAAAGUACUGCUGAUGGGUCAUACACUCCAUUCUCAUGUGAAUAGGCUUUUCCGGAUAUUUCAAGAUAUGGUCUGCUCCUCAAGGAAACCAAACAGAAUGCUUCAAGUGCUUCAGAUGUAAAACAAUGAUUUAUCAGACAAUUUGGAACACUUUACCCUCUGGGAUUGUUGGUGAAGUUUCGCGGUCAGCUACUGCACCCAUAUAUUCUAGAGGCUCUGGUUCCUGAGUUUCAUGUUGAUUUCCAUAUAUUGUGCUGUUGGGAUGAUGUAGUCCUGGGCAUGGCAGCUCAGGCAGACAUAUAAAUAUUCAAGUCCAGUUGUUAACUUGAUGAUAUCCUUUUUUGAACAGCUUCAAGUUUCCAAUGAUAUUAGUUACUGAGGAAUUUUGUUUAAAAGCUAUCAUACAUUUUGGCUAUCAAUUUGACAUCCUGCUAAUUGUAUGUCUUGGACCACAACAUUACCUGUAUCCAUUAUCCUAACUGGGUGGUACCUAGAAGAAUCCAAGAAACAAAAAGAGGUUUCCAGCAUCACCAGCAAACUUCAGUUCAUGCCUCAUGUGCUGCAUUUGAACAAAUAAAUUUAAGUUUGAGAGACAAUAUCAGUGAAGUAAAUUAUGAAAAGGAAAUAAUAAUAAAUGUUCAUCAACUACGAGUUAUGAGGUUAUUUUGUUCCUCAUUCACCCCAGAUAUUUCCUUGAUAUGCUUUACUCUUAUAGUUCCUGCAAUUGUUUUUUGGUUAGAAGUCUACAUUUAGUGCUAGUGGCAGAACUUUGUGCCCGUUUCAAUCUAGUCCAAAAGAGUUUAGGUGUGCAGGGGACAAUCCACAGCACCAACUUUGGUCAAAGUUUUGUAUAGAUCAGAAUGAAUUGCUUCUUAAGUAUGGGGUGGGAAUUGGAAUGAUGUCAGUGGCCAUGGAAUAUUUUGGCACCAAACAAGAGCCUUGAGAUGCUAAUCAUGGAGUCAGAAUGUUUAAUCAUCACUAUUUUUAUGGCCAGAGUCAACAGCAUUACACCAAGAUGGGCAACAGCACUGUUGUUAUCUCAACAACUGAAUCAAAUGUUGAAGCCACUCAUUGUUCAAUAUUCUGCAAUAACACUGGCCUCAGAACCAGCUUGAGACAAUCUCAUGGGUUGAAAUUUGAGCCAACCAUUCCAGUAGGAAAAAAAGAAUAGUUAUCUUCUUUUUCCAGGCAGAGCGUGCUUCCUCACUCAGUUCUUGUGUUCUUUUUUAUCUGCAGAAAAAAGCUUUAGAAGUACAGCAAGAGCAAUCAUUUGAUUGAGCCAUCAUAUGAAAUUUUGUUGUUCCCUUCAUUAUGAGGCUAUGGAAGAAACUCAAAAAAGAAAUGAGAGCAAGUAUCCACUAGUGAAGAGAGCAUCAUGACAAUGUAUUUGGAGGGAAGAGCUUGUGUGCCCCAUUUACCACAUUACAAGUAGUGUGGAGAGGCAGAAGCCUUGUUGGAGCAGUAAAGAAGCAGAUUAAAGGGCAGACAUGAGAACUCUAUGUAUCAUUAUUCUAACCACACUCCUCCACCGACAGUCCCAAAGAGAACAAAAAGGCUGCUUCUAUCACCUGUGGACUAAUGAUGACAUCCAUUUUGUUAAACCAGGCAUGUUUGCAGACCAAGCAAGGGCAUCCUACUUUCUUCUCAGUUCUCAUGUUGCAUACAUACUUGGAUAAGAAUUAGGAUGCAGAUGCAUUAUAGACCAUCAGAGGAAUAUUUCAGUAGCAAUGUCAGAUGACAACCACAAUGAGAACACCCACAUUUUGUUGGGGAAGAGUGAGGGGGGAUAGACUAUGGUGGAUUUAAUCUUUAGUCCAGAAACAACACUAUGAACAUGGCAAGAACUAAAAGGACGAAUGUUUGAAUUGCCUUUCUUUUUUGCUGCUCAGCAUCUGUUUCCCUUGCUUGAUCCAUGUGAGAUGUGGGUGGUGGUUGAACCUACCACGAUCAACAUUUAUGCAAAUCACAGAGCUUAAAUAUGUGGAGUACCUCUUGGUCUCACUGGAAGACCUUCAUGUGCUCUGAGAAAGAUGAGAUCUUUAAUUGUGAUGUGAUGUGAUGUUCUUCACACUAGAGACUUCAAUUGAAUCUGCAAGGAAUACAGAGUUAGACAUGAUUCAGAUGGGGCCUCAACAUAGUUUGUACCAAUUGCGCGAGUACUUGAUUAAGCCUCUGCUCAAUGCUCAUAAUUCAGUGCCAAAGGAUUCAUAUACAUGUUGACAUCCCCUUCAAGCGAUGAGCUUCAAAGGGAAGAAGAAAAUUGUGGACUUUUUAUUAUGUGAUGUGAAUAUUGUUUGUGAUCCAUUGCAAGAUGCAAUGUUGAGUGCCCCACCUACUGCAGCAUACAGUGCUGUUCUUGGUUUAACCAGUAAACUCCUCCAUCAAUCAGAACAGACAUGUCUGCUGCUUUUUCUUCUUGCUUCCAUAAUGGAGUAUACAAACUUAUCAUUCGGAUGAAUUAAUUGUUAGAGGUCCAUCCAACACAAAGUGUCACUGUUCCUGAAACUUUGUGAUCUGCCUAGGAUUCUUUUCACGCUUACUAGUGCUCCUGUCAUGCAAUCAUCUAUCCAGAGUUUGCCACACAAAGCAUACUUGUUUCAUCCAUUGAUUCCUCUUUCAAACACACGAAUUAUACUUGGACUGGUAUUUCCUGCACAAGAAAACAAUUCUGCUCUCAUAAUGCUACUUAAUGCUAGGAGCAGAGCUGAAUGAAUGCCUUCUGUCACUGAUUCAAAUGUACAUCAUGGAGAAUGCUGCAGCAUAUAAUGAGUUCCAGUAAAUAAAACUGAGAUCUAGCAAUGAUCCAUUUCAGGCUUUCCACCAUAGAUUUUGGAGGUCUAUCAACUUUCUGAGUUAAAGGCUCCCUAUAAUGUGAAUCAAUCAACAGAAGCAAACCAACUGAUGGAAGAAAGGUAGAAAUUGCUCAUAUGAGAAAUAGGGUUUUACCUUUUCCAUUCUGCUCAAGGGUACUCAAAAACAUCUUUUCUUUGUCAUGCUACCUAGGGAAAUAGGGU